rnacentral:snoRNA from 1 species
ACUUCCGUGAUGAUUAUCCCAUUGACUUUCGUUCUUCUGAGUCUUCUGAAGCAACUUCUUGUUCUGAGAAGU